UCUCCAGUGUUAAAAUCCUGGUGUUAAGGACUUUUAGAGUAAAAAGUUAAACUUGUGGUGUUGAAUUUGAGAGGAUUAACACUAGCUAGUGUAAACAGCGCCCUCUGGCCGGUGUAAAUACGCAGAGUUACCCUUAUUAACACUGUUGAGUGUUAUUAGUCACAUCCGGGACAUUUGCUCGUGUGCGCGCCUCACCCAUCUGAAAUAUUUUUCACAGACGCCAUUUUCUUUUCUCGCGAUGCGGAGCAUAAUGAGGAUGGGAAACAGCGAAAUACAGCGUUUAAUCUUACUCCCAAAAUGUGUUUUGUAAUAUCAUAUCGUUUAAUAAUAAUAUUUAUGUGCUGUAUAUGGCUAAAAUUUUCUCAAAGACAUUUUUAUCCACUCGCGAUGUGGAACAGAGUCCUGUGUACUCCUAAACUUCUUUUUAGAGAGAUAUUUUCUUUCACUCACGAUGCAGAGGAGACAAGUUUUAUCAAGGAAAACACCGAAAAUUUGAAUUGCAAUGCGGUGCUGAUACAGAGGUCGCUCUUAAUAGGUAAACUUAAGGGAGAUAUUUUCUUUCACUCACGAUGUGGAGCAGACGGGGAAGUAGGUUUUAUCAAGGAAAACACCUAAAUGCAGACGCAGAGGUUGCUUUUAACAGGGAAAGGUUUUCCCAGAGAGAUAUUCUUUCACUCGGGAGAUGAGAUGCUUGGAGAGUAUGAAGUCACCAAUAUAUUAAGUGGGAUGAGAAGAGCUUUGUUACAUACCAGAGACAAGGGUAAGCCACAACUGCAUAUUUUAAGAUUGUUGAUUGUCAUGCUUAAUUUUUUUGAUUAUUAAACAAUAAUAAUAAAAAGUCUGAUCUCCUUCUAAAAAAAAUGUAUCAAAUGUAAGUUUUUGGUAUGCUUGCACUGCCAUUUAUUUAUGUGCUGUCCCAUUUAUGUGCAUUCAUUUUGGUAGGAGGAGUCCAACCUCAAUGCAAAGAGAGAUCAGUAUACACUUGGAAUUAUGACUUUGUUUCUGUUGUUAAAAGACUGACUUUCUUUUUACAAUAUAUAUUACACAUACAUUUACAGUUAAUUAAAUGAUUUUCCUUAAAGCAGUAGGUCAUCCAAAAAUGAAAACUGAGUCAACAUUUACUUAGCCUUGGCCUUGUGUUGCUCUAACGCCAUAUGCCUUUCUUUCUUUUUUGGACCACAAAAGGAGAUAAAAAAAAAAAAUUCCCUGAACAAAUUUAUCCAUAUAAUGUCAGUAUAUGUCUUAUGUAGGUUAUUCAAAAUAAUUUUUUUUUGUGCUUCUCAAAAGACAGGAGGUCCAAAAUAAUGACAGAAUUUUCAGUUUUGGGUGAACUAUUUUGAACUGUAUUUUAUUGUAUUGUCUAGAUUUAAACUGACAGUCUGCCUCCUGAACAGUAGGAGGUAGAUUAUUCCAGAGUUUGGGAGCUAAAUAGGAAAAGGAUCUGCCGUCCACAGUUGAUUUUGAUAUUCUGGGUAUUAUCGACUCCGGCCUUGAAUCUUGUCAGUUUAAAUCUAGAUUAAAGACCCAUCUUUUUAACCUGGCUUAUACGUAAUACACAUACACAUUUCUAUAAUUCAGAUCCAUUAAAGGAUUGUUAGGCUGCAGUAAUUUGGUCAGCCAAAACUGGAAACACGUCCCUUAGCACAUGAUGUAAUUGUUAUAUUGUAAGAAAGAAUGGCAUCUACGCUAAUAUUAGUCUGUUUUGUUCUUAUUUCGAGGUCACCGUAGCCAUCCAGAUCCAGACUGAAUCCAGAUCAGAUGGUCACUGCAGUUCCCUGGAUCCAGUCCAGAUGGUGGAUCAGCACCUAGAGAUGACCUCUACAGCCCUGAAUGUCAGCGGAGACCAUGACAACUAGAUGAGCCCGAGACAGAUCCUCUGCGAACACCUCGUCAACUACACACCCAUCGGCACAAGACCUCUGCUCAAUCUGACUUUGUUGCAGCCUAGAUUUCGAGACACCAUUUCCCUGUUUAAUACUGUAAAGCUGCAUUGAUACAAUCUGCAUUGUAAAAAACGCUAUAAAAAAUGGAUGUGAAAUUAUCCUGUCUUUUUAUGUUUUUGUUAUUUAGUUUUCCAAUUUUACAGGAGCACUUUUGAAAUGCUCCAAGUGGGAGUGGAUAUCUUGCUUGGCUGAAAACAGCAGAGAAACACAUCUUGUCAUGCUGAAAACAAAGCAAAGACUGUUGUUAAAGCUGAUAAAUGUAAGCAUUAUAAACCUUAAAACAUUUUAAUGGAGUGAGGAGCGGAAAUUUUAAAGGUCGGAGCGUUGUGGUUUUUACUCGCUCCAAGAACGCUCCACUACCACUCCAUCACGAGUACAAUUCAUGACAACGACCCAUAAUAUAACUGCAUAUAUAGCAAGAAUUCACGUGUUAAACAGCCUAUUUAGCUAGCUUGAUAGAGAUGGAUCACUCAAAUUCAGAAAGAAUGUGAAAACUAGGAUGACUGCAAUGGACAUGGGCAGAAAAUUAUAGUUUUCAUUGAAUUAGUUUGUUCUUUCAAGAUACUGAAUAUUUUCAAGUGAAAGCGUGAUUUAAUAAUGAAUUCAAACACAUGUAAACUUACUGUGGUACUUCAUCUGUAUAUCCGAUUUCACAUGAGAAGAAAUCUCUAAGAAAUGCAGCGAUCUGUCCGUAAAAUAACUGACGAAACGUAUUGUUAUUAUUAUUAUUUAUUUUUUAAUCACAAACAUUUGCACUGCAAAAAGCAGCAAUUAUACCUUUUAAUGCUGACUGACAACCAUGUUAGCUUGGCAUGAGGAAAAAAGUUUGCACACUAGUGUUCCAAUGAGCCACUUUAAAACUAUUAUGUUGUUUUAUUUCUGUUAUUUUCUUCUUUUAAUAUACGUUAUGAACAGAACUGUGGUAUUUCAAACAUACUGAUAUAGUUUAGACGCGAAGCGAAGGCGGAGCGGUGUUUCUGGUAUCAGUGAGCGAGGAGUGGAGCGAGAGCGGGAAACGAUGAACCCGGAGCGGAGCUGUUAUAAAAUGCAUGGCGCGGAGGGGAAAUUGUUGUCGCUCCACUCCGCUGACAUACUCUGGUGUUGACCAGUUAAUCCAUGAGUGCUAAAUUUGAACACCCACUUUGGUGUUUUCAUUAUCCGUUCUGGUGUUAAUAUUUUACAUUUUAACAGUUUGUUAGUAACACUGUCAGGGUGUUAAAAAUGUCAACACUUUCAAAAGUGUUAGUGUUAAUUUUAACUCUGAGGGAGUUAAAUUCACCUGUUAAAAUUUGUAGUGUGGGAUUUUAAUUUCACUUGACUUUUUAUUUUGUUCAUAGAAUCUAAUUUGAAUUUGUGAUUUUUUUUAAUUGGAAUUUCACUUUGCCCUGUAUUAUCUUAUUUGAUUCUGUUAUUCAAUUACUUUUUAAGUGUAACUUUUUUCUGUGUGUGUGUGUACUUGUACACAAUAAAAAUGCAGCAUAUAUGAAAACACAAAUAUAAACACUGAAAUCCAUAAUAUUACAGUAAGACAGGGAUAAUAAAUAUGAUAUUUUAUAAUGUACGAAUAAGUUUAAAUGUAUUACAUGUGACUAAGAAUUCACAGAAACACAAACAUCUGUAUAGGGUAUUGUCCUGACGUUUCCCCUUUAAGAAAUCCGAACGUAGUGCGCGUGCAACUGUAGGGCGCAUAUUUGAACAGUAAAGGCGGGCGU